UACGGAGGGUGCGAGCGUUAAUCGGAAUUACUGGGCGUAAAGGGUGCGUAGGUGGUUGAAUAAGUUACUUGUGAAAUUCCUGGGCUCAACCUGGGGUGGUCAGGUAAGACUGUUUGACUCGAGUAUAGGAGAGGGUAGUGGAAUUUCCGGUGUAGCGGUGAAAUGCGUAGAGAUCGGAAGGAACACCGGUGGCGAAGGCGGCUACCUGGCCUGAUACUGACACUGAGGCACGAAAGCGUGGGGAGCAAACAGG
rnacentral:rRNA from 1 species